ACUUGAUGGUACAAGACUGUAAUCCCAGCCACUUGGGAGGCUGAGACAGGAGAAUUUCUUGAGCCCAGGAGUUUAAGGCCAGUCUGAGCAACAUAGAAAGAUUCCUUCUCAA
rnacentral:sRNA from 1 species